rnacentral:rRNA from 1 species
UACGGAGGGUGCGAGCGUUGUCCGGAAUCAUUGGGCGUAAAGGGCGCGUAGGUGGCCCGGUCAGUUCGUGGUGAAAGCGCGGGGCUCAACCCUGCGUCGGCCAUGAAUACUGCCGCGGCUGGAGCACUGUAGAGGCAGGCGGAAUUCCACAUGUAGCGGUGAAAUGCGUAGAUAUGUGGAGGAACACCGGUGGCGAAAGCGGCUUUCUAGUUUAUACCUGACGCUGAGGCGCGAGAGCAAGGGGAGCAAACAGG